AUUGAACGCUGGCGGCAUGCCUUACACAUGCAAGUCGAACGGCAGCACGGGAGCAAUCCUGGUGGCGAGUGGCGAACGGGUGAGUAAUAUAUCGGAACGUGCCCAGUCGUGGGGGAUAACGUAGCGAAAGCUACGCUAAUACCGCAUACGAUCUAUGGAUGAAAGCGGGGGAUCGCAAGACCUCGCGCGAUUGGAGCGGCCGAUAUCAGAUUAGGUAGUUUGGUGAGGUAAAGGCUCACCAAGCCGACGAUCUGUAGCUGGUCUGAGAGGACGACCAGCACACUGGGACUGAGACACGGCCCAGACUCCUACGGAGGCAGCAGU
rnacentral:rRNA from 1 species